AUAGGUGGCACCUGUCAACGCAAAUCGCUCACUCUUGGACCAGGCUUCCCUCGGGUCUGGAGGGCCCUUCUUUCACCAGGACCCUGCGUGUGUGUGUGUGUGUGUGUGUGUGUUGUGUGUCUGUCUACACCCACGUAUGUGCCUGUGUCUGUACGUGUGUGUGUCUGUGUGUGUAUCUCUGUCUGUGUGUGUGUGUCUGUGUGUAUCUGUAUGUGUGUGUCUGUGGUGUGUCUAUGUCUGCAUGUGUUCCUGCGUGUGUGUGUGUCUGUACCGUGUGUAUAUCUCUGUCUGUGUCUGUGUGUGUGUCUGUGUGUGUAUGUAUCUCUGUGUGUGUCAGGGUGUGUGUAUCUGUGUGUGUCUGUAUGUGUCUCUGUGUAUCUGUGUGUGUGUGUCUCUGUGUGUACUUAUGGGUAUGUAUCUGGUCUGUGUGUGUGUGUCUGUUUCUCUGUGUGUGUCUGUAUGUUUGUGUGUGUGUCUCUCUGUGUGUGUCUGUGUGUGUGUGUCUCUGUGUGUCUUUGUGUGUACUUAUGUGUCUGUAUCUGGUCUCUGUGUGUGCCUGUGUACGUCUGUGUAUGUUUGUGUGUCUGUGUCUCUGUGUGUGUGUGUGUGUCUGUGUGUGUGUGUCUCUCUCUACGUGUGUCUGUGUGUAUGUGUCUGUGUGUCUGUCUCUGUGUGUCUGUCUCUGUGUGUACUUACGUGUCUGUGUCUGGUCUGUGUGUGUGUGUGUCUGUAUCAUGUGUAUAUCUCUGUCUGUGUCUGUGUGUGUGUCUGUGUGUGUAUGUAUCUCUGUGUGUGUCAGGGUGUGUGUAUCUGUGUGUGUGUCUCUCUCUGCGUGUGUCUGUGUGUGUGUGUGUGCAUGUAUGUGCCCUCAGCUCCAUGUGGGUCACAAACUCAAGGACAGUUUAUGGGAUGUACUUCUCUCCCUUCAGGUCCAGAGUCCCUUGUGUGAUCCACUCUGCACGUGGUUUCUGGGGGGUGGCUUUGCGGUCCUGUGAAGUCGCCGAGAGCUGGUCACAAGGGCUGUGGACGGUGGCCUGGACGUGCGAGGGUCCGUCUGUGCGGAGUUCCGUCUUGCCAAAGCGCUCUCGUGUAUAUCACCUCACUCGGCUCUCACGCGCACCUGGAGUGAUGCAGGCCAGGAUCUCGGCCUUCUGUACAGGACUGAGGCCCCACAGGGCUGGCAGAGGCCCCAGGAUCACUCAGGCAGAGGGGUCUGCAGGGGCCAGCCGCCCCCUGCCUAUCUGAGAAGCACCUGCUCACCCCAAGUCACUGUUUUCUGUACAUAUGAAACCUUACAAUAUGUGCAGAAAGGAAUGGCUCCUCCCCCCACCAGAACUGAGGCAGAUGGAGCUGGGGGCGGGGGGGUGUCUGACAUCGUCCCCCCAGGACCCACAGCCACUUAACUAACAAGAGAGCCUUCAAGCCCCCAGGCGUCAGCUCUCUCUACCACAUCCAACAUCUCCUAAAGAUCUGGGCCUCACCUUGAACGUUGAAUCUGCUCUAGAAUUUUCAACCCAGAAGAAAAGAGGCAUUAGGGUUUCCCUGGUCAGCUGGGCCUCUCCAACAUAAGACAUUAAAGUCACCAAAUAUUUAUGGAGAUAAACAGUUACCGCAGGCUCUGGGCAGAGCUGGGAGCACUGGGGAAAUGGAAGCAGUCUCCCAGCAGAAACCCAGG
rnacentral:lncRNA from 1 species